GCCGGGAUAGUCUAGUGGUUAUGGCGUCUGCCUUACACGCAGAAGAGCGCGAGUUUAAUCCUCGCUCCUGGUA
rnacentral:tRNA from 1 species